rnacentral:rRNA from 1 species
CAGUAAAUUUGAGCCAAAGAGCCCUUUAGUCCGAAUCCCCGAAACUAGACGAGCUACUCCGGGACAGCCUAUCUAGGGCCAACCCGUCUCUGUGGCAAAAGAGUGGGAAGAGCCCCGAGUAGCGGUGAUAAACCUAUCGAGCCUAGUUAUAGCUGGUUGCUUACGAAAUGAAUAGAAGUUCAGCCCCAUAACCUUCUUAAAGCCCCAGGUUUAACUAAUAUUGUUUAAAAGAAGUUAAAGGAGUUAGUCAAAAGAGGUACAGCUCUUUUGAAAAAGGACACAACCUUAACAGGCGGCCAAGGAUCAUAAUUAUUAAGGCACCUGUUGAAGUGG